CCUCACCCUCUCUCUCAUUCUCUCCUCUCUACCCGAUUCCCCUGGUCGCCUCCCCCCCACGCCCGUCGCCGCCAGCCCGAAACCCUAGCUCCCUCCCUCGCGCGCUCAGAUCCGACCACCCUCCCUCACUCUUCGCACUCAGAUCCGCCCUCCCUCCCUCACUCUUCGCGCUGGAAACCCUAGCCGCCGGGCCAUGGUGACAGACGGCAACGACGACGGCCGUGGCUACCUUGACGACGGCGGUGCGGCCAGCAGCAGAAGCACCACCAUGCCCUCCCUUCCUCCAACCCUAGCGAUUCGGCCAUGUUGGCGGCAGCCAAAUCCGCGCCGGGACAGGACCUGCUUGUGCUCGUGAGGAGAGGCACGCCAUGGAGCAGCUCGUCAAGGACAUGUCCGACCCUUCCCUUCCCUUCGUUCUUAAUCCAAGGGUUAUAUGUUCUAUAUUGGAGUACUUUGCAUUCAAAUUAUUUCCUGUGUUAUAUUAUGAGUUUGAUGUUCUUAAAAUAUGUAUUCUCAAUAAUAGUACAAAAUACAUGUCUAUGCUCCCAUGGAUCCAGUAAGUAUAAGAUGAACUCGAUAAUCUCCAAUUGGUUUCAUUAUUGUUGUCCCGGUCCUCAUGAGCGGAUAAUCUUUCUACAACGAGUAGAUGGGGGUACAUGGUUUGGGUUGCUCUACAGAACUGAAAUAGUUUUCCGAUUACACACUUUAUCAGAACCGAGACACGGGUAGGCUCUGGGUUGUGCCAUCACAUUAGUGAAAAUAGAUGUACAAUGCCAAUUAGUAUUUUGUUUGUUGCUUCAUCAUCCCUCACAGACUUUCAGGUUUGGUAUUCCUGCUUCUAUGAUAUACUUAAUGAUUGAGGAAGGAUCUAUGCGAUCGAAACAGAUGCCUUGUUCUCAUCAUGAUACGCUGUGAGGUAAUUCCUUGCCAUUGGCCAUGUUAGGUCGUUAUUAUCUAUGCACGUAGGAGGCUUCUAUUUUUUUAUAUAUUUAUGGGCUGAUUAAUUAUGGGCUUUGGGGUUAGUAUCCUUUUGGAAAAUGCACUGUAUUUCAAUUCCUGUUUUGUAUCAUUCAAGAUUCUUCCUUUGAUGUUAUUUUGCUGCUGGUCACGCUCCUAAUGGCAUUUGUUAAUACAUGUAUCCAUGGUUUUCUUGUGUUAUGAUUUAUCUUUCCUACAGCCAACACAUUUUUUCUCUUGGCCGACUUGCUGCUUGCAUACAUAACAGAUAUGCAUCCAUGGUGAAGUUACUAUAUAAGUAUAGGGUCAAGCACUGCCCCGACAUACAUCCUAUUUUGUGUUUUUCCUCAAAGUCCCAUGGCCAUGUUGCUGGUAGAGUUGGAAGCACCGCCCUUGAUUUUGAAAUUGGAGAAGGAAGAUGGAUAACAGAGUUCAGUACAGUAAGGAUGCUCUACAAUAUAGGAAUCCAGACAAGGAUGAUGAGCAAUACACGACCCCAUGGCCGAGCCGACGACCAACCACCAGGGAAGUGGACAUGUGAAUAAGGGAUGGAGUAGCAACGUUGAUUGGUUGCACGGAGCUACAGUCAACCUGAUGUGGUGUUUUAAUCUCCUUGACAUAGAGAGUAGUUGUGUGUGGUUUCCUUUCGAGUAGCAUAGUUGGAGUUUAGCAUGUGUGUGUAGAGCUGAUGGUUGUGAGGCUAAUUCCGAGAGUAGUACAUGACUGGAAGAUGCCCAGCUAGAUGUGAUACUUUGUGAUGGUUUAAUAUACUUUGUGAUCUCAUAUGCAACACUUUGUGAUACCCUAUGAUAUAUAUAUGGACAUUUGCUA